AGCGAACGCUGGCGGCAGGCUUAACACAUGCAAGUCGAGCGGGCAUCCUUGUGGUGUCAGCGGCAGACGGGUGAGUAACGCGUGGGAACGUGCCCUUCGGUUCGGAAUAACUCAGGGAAACCUGAGCUAAUACCGGAUACGUGCGAGAGCAGAAAGGUUUAUCUGCCGAAGGAUCGGCCCGCGUCUGAUUAGCUAGUUGGUGAGGUUAUGGCUCACCAAGGCGACGAUCAGUAGCUGGUCUGAGAGGAUGAUCAGCCACACUGGGACUGAGACACGGCCCAGACUCCUACGGGAGGCAGCAGUGGGGAAUAUUGGACAAUGGGGGCAACCCUGAUCCAGCCAUGCCGCGUGAGUGAUGACGGCCUUAGGGUUGUAAAGCUCUUUUCGUCGGGACGAUAAUGACGGUACCGGAGGAAUAAGCCCCGGCUAACUUCGU
rnacentral:rRNA from 1 species